ACUGCUCAGUAACACGUGGAUAACCUGCCCUAGGGAAGGGGAUAACCCCGGGAAACUGGGGAUAAUACCCUAUAGAUUACAGACGCUGGAAUGCCCUGUAACCGAAAGUUCCGGCGCCUUAGGAUGGAUCUGCGGCCGAUUAGGUUGUUGUUGGGGUAACGGCCCAACAAGCCGAUAAUCGGUACGGGUUGUGGGAGCAAGAGCCCGGAGUUGGAUUCUGAGACAUGAAUCCAGGCCCUACGGGGCGCAGCAGGCGCGAAAACUUUACAAUGCGGGAAACCGUGAUAAGGGAACCCCGAGUGCCUGUAUAUGCAGGCUGUCCAGGUGUCUAAAAAACACCUGAAGAAAGGGCCGGGCAAGACCGGUGCCAGCCGCCGCGGUAAUACCGGCGGCUCGAGUGGUGGCCACUUUUAUUGGGCUUAAAGCGUUCGUAGCUGGGUUGUUAAGUCUCUUGGGAAAUCUGACGGCUCAACCGUCAGGCGUCCAAGGGAUACUGGCAAUCUUGGAACCGGGAGAGGUGAGGGGUACUUCGGGGGUAGGAGUGAAAUCCUGUAAUCCUCGAGGGACCACCUGUGGCGAAGGCGCCUCACCAGAACGGCUUCGACAGUGAGGGACGAAAGCUGGGGGAGCAAACCGGAUUAGAUACCCGGGUAGUCCCAGCCGUAAACGAUGCGCGUUAGGUGUAUCGGUGACCACGAGUCACCGAGGUGCCGGAGGGAAACCGUGAAACGUGCCGCCUGGGAAGUACGGUCGCAAGGCUGAAACUUAAAGGAAUUGGCGGGGGAGCAC
rnacentral:rRNA from 1 species